rnacentral:lncRNA from 11 species
UAUUUCUCUUUCUUGGAAUUUCAGAAUGCCAUUGCAUUCAUUUAAAAUAAAGUGCUUGUCUCCCUGCAGGUCUGACUGAAAGAUAGUACUGAUGGUUUAACCCACUGGGUUUUUUAAAGUCUAUGCAGAGGAAAAGAAUGUAUUACUCACCAGUCCAUCAGCCAGCUCCCUUAUCUCUGAAAAGGUACAGCUUGCUACAAUCUUUUAUUCAAGCAUAUGCCAAUUUUUUAUCAAGAGUGAUUGACAAGAAUAUUGUGUGUUUAUUUAUAGAGUCCUCAGUAGCAACAGAAACUACAAUAGCAACAGAAACAGAUAGGGUAAGCACUGAGGGCAUUUUAAAUCCAGAAAGAUAUGGGGAGCAAAACAGCACCAUGCAAGUGGGAAGGAUGGAAACAGAACUCACAUUUUCCCUAAAUGGAGUGAAAGGUGGAGUUUCCAACUCCUUUGGGAAACAUCUUCAGGGAGAAAAAAAAUGGAAGAAUUCUUGA